GUCGAGCGGAACGAAGAGUAGCUUGCUACUCUGGCGUCGAGCGGCGGACGGGUGAGUAAUGCUUGGGAACAUGCCUUGAGGUGGGGGACAACAGUUGGAAACGACUGCUAAUACCGCAUAAUGUCUACAGACCAAAGGGGGCUUCGGCUCUCGCCUUUAGAUUGGCCCAAGUGGGAUUAGCUAGUUGGUGAGGUAAUGGCUCACCAAGGCGACGAUCCCUAGCUGGUUUGAGAGGAUGAUCACCCACACUGGGACUGAGACACGGCCCAGACUCCUACGGGAGGCAGCAGUGGGGAAUAUUGCACAAUGGGCGCAAGCCUGAUGCAGCCAUGCCGCGUGUGUGAAGAAGGCCUUCGGGUUGUAAAGCACUUUCAGUCAAGAGGAAAGGUUAGUAGUUAAUACCUGCUAUCUGUGACGUUACUGACAGAAGAAGCACCGGCUAACUCCGUGCCAGCAGCCGCGGUAAUACAGAGGGUGCGAGCGUUAAUCAGAAUUACUGGGCGUAAAGCGUACGCACGCGGUUUGUUAAGCGAGAUGUGAAAGCCCCGGGCUCAACCUGGGAACUGCAUUUCGAACUGGCAAACUAGAGUGUGAUAGAGGGUGGUAGAAUUUCAGGUGUAGCGGUGAAAUGCGUAGAGAUCUGAAGGAAUACCGAUGGCGAACGCAGCCACCUGGGUCAACACUGACGCUCAUGUACGAAAGCGUGGGGAGCAAACAAGAUUAGAUACCCUGGUAGUCCACGCCGUAAACGAUGUCUACUAGAAGCUC
rnacentral:rRNA from 1 species